rnacentral:rRNA from 1 species
UACAGAGGGUGCAAGCGUUGUUCGGAAUUAUUGGGCGUAAAGGGCGCGUAGGCGGUUCGGCAAGUCUCUAGUGAAUCUCAGGGCUCAACUCUGAGUCUGCUGGGAAACUGCCGGGCUUGAGUGUGGGAGAGGAGAGUGGAAGUUCCCGGUGUAGCGGUGAAAUGCGUAGAUAUCGAGAGGAACACCAGUGGCGAAGGCGAGUCCCUGGACGA